rnacentral:tRNA from 1 species
AAUUAAUGAACUUGAAUAAGUUUAUGUUUUGAAAACAUAAGAAAGAAGAUUAAUCUUCUAUUAAUUU